UGGCCAAAGAGAGUGAUGGGACUAACGG
rnacentral:piRNA from 1 species